rnacentral:lncRNA from 1 species
AGAAUUUAUAACAAUCCACAAAUGGUUCAUUCCAGUACGCAAUUCAAUAAUUUCGACGUUUGUGGUUCAACGUAUUUUCUAAUUUAUAAUAGAAAUAUAACAUAAUGCCAUAUUAUAGAACAAUAACAUACUGACCGGAUCUGUUUAAGUACAGUCACAUUAGAAGAACCAAAGAAACACAAAAAGUCGCUUAAACAAAACACACCAGCAAAAAUGAAAGAUAGUACAAAC